rnacentral:rRNA from 1 species
GAUCAAGCGAAUAAGUGCAUGUGGUGGAUGCCUUGGCGAUUACAGGCGAUGAAGGGCGUGGUAGCCUGCGAAAAGCUCCGGGGAGCUGGCAAACAAGCUUUGAUCCGGAGAUGUCCGAAUGGGGAAACCCGGCCCGCAAGGGUCAACCUUGGCUGAAUACAUAGGCCAAGCGUGGCGAACCUGGUGAACUGAAACAUCUAAGUAGCCAGAGGAAAAGAAAUCAACCGAGAUUCCCAGAGUAGUGGCGAGCGAAAUGGGAGCAGCCUCCAACUUUUAGCAUUCGAAUUAGCUGAACCGUCUGGAAAGUCGGGCCAUAGCGGGUGAUAGCCCCGUAGGCGAAAAUUCGAGUGUGGAACUAGGGUUGGGACAAGUAGGGCGGGACACGUGAAAUCCUGUCUGAACAUGGGGGGACCAUCCUCCAAGGCUAAAUACUCGUAAUCGACCGAUAGUGAACCAGUACCGUGAGGGAAAGGCGAAAAGAACCCCGGGAGGGGAGUGAAAUAGAUCCUGAAACCGCAUGCAUACAAACAGUGGGAGCGGACUUGUUCCGUGACUGCGUACCUUUUGUAUAAUGGGUCAGCGACUUACAUUCAGUAGCAAGCUUAACCGAAUAGGGGAAGCGCAGCGAAAGCGAGUCUUAAUAGGGCGUUUAGUUGCUGGGUGUAGACCCGAAACCAGAUGAUCUACUCAUGGCCAGGAUGAAGCGGGGGUAACACCUCGUGGAGGUCCGAACCCACUAAUGUUGAAAAAUUAGGGGAUGAGCUGUGGGUAGGGGUGAAAGGCUAAACAAAUCUGGAAAUAGCUGGUUCUCUCCGAAAACUAUUUAGGUAGUGCCUCACGUAUCACCUUCGGGGGUAGAGCACUGUUAUGGCUAGGGGGCCGUUUAGGCCUACCAAACCAUGGCAAACUCCGAAUACCGAAGAGUGCGAGCGUGGGAGACAGACAUCGGGUGCUAACGUCCGGUGUCGAAAGGGAAACAACCCAGACCCUCAGCUAAGGUCCCAAAGACACAGUUAAGUGGCAAACGAAGUGGGAAGGCUAAAACAGUCAGGAGGUUGGCUUAGAAGCAGCCAUCCUUUAAAGAAAGCGUAAUAGCUCACUGAUCGAGUCGUCCUGCGCGGAAGAUGUAACGGGGCUCAAACUGUGCACCGAAGCUAGGGAUUUACACGCAAGUGUAGAUGGUAGGAGAGCGUUCCGUAGGCCUGCGAAGGUGGCUUGAGAAGGCUGCUGGAGGUAUCGGAAGUGCGAAUGCUGACAUGAGUAGCGAUAAAGGGAGUGAAAGGCUCCCUCGCCGUAAGCCCAAGGUUUCCUGCGCAACGUUCAUCGGCGCAGGGUGAGUCGGCCCCUAAGGUGAGGCAGAAAUGCGUAGCUGAUGGGAAACUGGUUAAUAUUCCAGUACCUUUGUUCAAUGCGAUGUGGGGACGGAGAAGGUUAGCUCGGCCGGGUGUUGGAUGUCCCGGUUGAAGCGUGUAGACGUGCUGCCCAGGCAAAUCCGGGCGGCUUAGUUGAGGCGUGAUAACGAAACGCCCUUCGGGGCGCCAAGUGAGUGAUACCCUGCUUCCAGGAAAAGCCACUAAGCUUCAGUUGAAUGAGGACCGUACCGCAAACCGACACAGGUGGGCGGGAUGAAAAUUCCAAGGCGCUUGAGAGAACUCAGGAGAAGGAACUCGGCAAAUUGACACCGUAACUUCGGGAUAAGGUGUGCCCCCGGUACGUGUAGCACCUCGCGUGUGAAGCGGAUGGGGGUUGCAAAGAAAUGGUGGCUGCGACUGUUUAAUAAAAACACAGCACUCUGCAAACACGAAAGUGGACGUAUAGAGUGUGACGCCUGCCCGGUGCCGGAAGGUUAAGUGAUGGGGUGCAAGCUCUUGAUCGAAGCCCCGGUAAACGGCGGCCGUAACUAUAACGGUCCUAAGGUAGCGAAAUUCCUUGUCGGGUAAGUUCCGACCUGCACGAAUGGCGUAACGAUGGCCACACUGUCUCCUCCUGAGACUCAGCGAAGUUGAAAUGUUUGUGAAGAUGCAAUCUCCCCGCGGCUAGACGGAAAGACCCCGUGCACCUUUACUGUAGCUUUACAUUGGACUUUGACAAUAUCUGUGUAGGAUAGGUGGGAGGCAUUGAAGUGGGCUCGCCAGAGCUCAUGGAGCCGACGUUGAAAUACCACCCUGAUGUUGUUGAGGUUCUAACCUGGGUCCAUUAUCUGGAUCGGGGACCGUGUAUGGUAGGCAGUUUGACUGGGGCGGUCUCCUCCCAAAGUGUAACGGAGGAGUACGAAGGUACGCUAGGUACGGUCGGAAAUCGUGCUGAUAGUGCAAUGGCAAAAGCGUGCUUGACUGCGAGACUGACAAGUCGAGCAGAUGCGAAAGCAGGUCAUAGUGAUCCGGUGGUUCUGUAUGGAAGGGCCAUCGCUCAACGGAUAAAAGGUACGCCGGNNNNNNNNNNNNNNNNNNNNNNNNNNNNNNNNNNNNNNNNNNNNNNNNNNNNNNNNNNNNNNNNNNNNNNNNNNNNNNNNGCCAUUUAAAGUGGUACGUGAGCUGGGUUUAAAACGUCGUGAGACAGUUUGGUCCCUAUCUGCCGUGGGCGUUGGAAGUUUGAGGGGACCUGCUCCUAGUACGAGAGGACCGGAGUGGACGCACCUCUGGUGUACCGGUUAUGACGCCAGUCGUAUCGCCGGGUAGCUAAGUGCGGAAGAGAUAACCGCUGAAAGCAUCUAAGCGGGAAACUCGCCUCAAGAUGAGACUUCCCGGGGGUUAAACCCCCCUAAAGGUUCGUCGAAGACCACGACGUUGAUAGGUCGGGUGUGGAAGCGCAGUAAUGCGUUAAGCUAACCGAUACUAAUUGACCGUGAGGCUUGAUCCU